CUGGGCUUUAAUACAUGCAGCUAUUCAGGUUUUAAACUGGGUGACUGCCAUACAUUACUUGAAUGCCUAUUUUGAAGUAUGUACUGGGAAAAGGAAAGCUGAUUUUACAAUUUUGCACAUGUGCGCCUGACAUAUAGUCGAAAUAAUCCAUGGGCAUGUAUCCAAAGUUGCUGUUUCUAAAGAUGUCAAGGAGUUUUUCUGUGCUCAUUUGUCUUACUGCAAAAUGCAAAAACGAUAUAUGAGUGUAGGAAAGUAAUUCAGAAGCUCUGCAUAAUUUUCAGCGCAUCACAUCUCGACGCACAAUGCAGGGAAAGAGGUAAGAUGAAAAGAGCUAAAGAAAUGGAUACAAACCCAGCCGAUCUCUAAAACUAUUCUAUCCUUUGACCAGAAAACUGUGAUUGAUUCCUGUUUCUGAUCAAUCUGUAAAAAUUCUCCUUUUGCUCAAUUGUUCAUCGCGCAGUUUGGAUAAAAAUGAUCAGGAGAAUAAGACUUAUCCUCUGAACAGCUAUUAUUCUACUGAAUUGCAAAAGCCUUAGUCAAAUAUGUGCCAACAUAACAUUAUGGAGUGGCAUUAUGUUACAAGCAAUAAAAUUGCCACAAACUGGGGACAGCAAUGCAAAUGUUGCAAAUUGGUUCAGAACUGUCAAAAAUCUGGUUUUGAAGGACAAGCUCUAUUGCAGAACUCCUAACUUUGUAGAAGUUAUGAAAGACACCGUUCAAGGUAAGAUGAGUUCAAUAGCAAUAGGCAGACAAGGUUCCUUGGGUGAAUUUGAUAUCUGUUAUUCGACCAACCCAAAUGGUUGGAGAAUAGUUAUUAAGCAAGCUUUCGGGUUCAAAAACCCUUCGUCAGGCUAAGGAAGCUUCAGCAGUUGGUGUGUGCUCUUCAAUAGCAAUAGGCAUUUUACCCGACCGAAGCAUAAACGAUAAAUCUAAGAGGAAAAUAACCUACUGUGUUGCUAAUCAAAGCAUUUCAGAGCCUCUUGCUCUCUUGGAAACAUGGAAUGAUGGUCCCCGUUCCACACUGAAGCAGCAAGCUAAGUAUUCUCAGGCUCCUCCAGAACAGGAACACAAACAACAGUUGCCUUGUCUUCCUUGGAGUGCUGGCAUCCAAAUCGAACAGAAAGGUGCAAUUCACCAACACUUGCACCAUUGACAACCUUUGAUAUAUCAUUUAUUUGAUAUUUAAAAAAUACCAGGCAAUAAAAACUGAGUUUGAACUUCUCCAAAGAAGUGAAGUAUUCCAACGUCUUCUCUGAGUAAAUGAGGCAUUUAGCAGCAACAACUGGAAGGAAGGGAGAUGGCAGUGGUUGACUGUUUCAGAAAUGUACAGGAAGGAGCGCAUGGGAUUGCUAUGGAAUUGAGGAAAUUAUGGUGACACUUCCACUCUCCGAUCUCUAUAGCACAGCGCAGUUCUCCGUUUGCUCCAAUUCAGAAUGUCCACAGAAGAACAGGACAUUGAAAUCAGCAUCAGUUUUUGCAUGUGUCAAAGGUAACAAGUGCAGAGGAACACGGAAAUUGAGUAAACGUCAAUUCAUUAAUGAAAAACCAUGCAUCUUACUCAUAACACUUGCAGCAGAUCUGGCUCACAGAAGAACUGAAAAAUGUGAUCUCUUUCCACCCCUGAUUUCUAUAUGUGGCAUUAAGUACAAAGUAGCUGGGGUAAAGUACAAUACUGGCAAACAUUUGAUGUGUUUCUAUGAACUUGGUGAUAGUGAGAGCUGGCAGUACUACGAUGGACUUUUAGAAUAUAAAAAGGUCGGAUGUGAAGAUACACCAGCAACUGAAGAAGAGUUCUCCGAAGCUCUUAGGAAGGAAAGUGUAUAAAGCCAUGUUGUUGCUGUAUGAACAUUUUAGAAAUAAUGAGGACAUCUGCAAGGAUAGACAUGGGUACUGAAAUACAUACCAAAGUGUAACAGGGCACCCCCAAAAAAUGUGUAAUACCCUGUUCUGAGGCCAGUUCUCCCUGCUUUUUCCCACCGUGCCUUGAUGUUCAUAUAUAAAUAAAUAU